rnacentral:rRNA from 1 species
CGGGGUGCAGCAGGCGCGAAAACUUUACAAUGCGGGAAACCGUGAUAAGGGGACACUGAGUGCCAGCAUCACAUGCUGGCUGUCCGGGUGUGUAAAAUACACCCGUUAGCAAGGGCCGGGCAAGACCGGUGCCAGCCGCCGCGGUAACACCGGCGGCCCGAGUGGUGAUCGUGAUUAUUGGGUCUAAAGGGUCCGUAGCCGGUUUGGUCAGUCCUCCGGGAAAUCUGACGGCUUAACCGUUAGGCUUUCGGGGGAUACUGCCAGGCUUGGAACCGGGAGAGGUAAGAGGUACUACAGGGGUAGGAGUGAAAUCUUGUAAUCCCUGUGAGACCACCUGUGGCGAAGGCGUCUUACCAGAACGGGUUCGACGGUGAGGGACGAAAGCUGGGGGCACGAACCGGAUUAGAUACCCGGGUAGUCCCAGCCGUAAACGAUGCUCGCUAGGUGUCAGGCAUGGCGCGACCGUGUCUGGUGCCGCAGGGAAGCCGUGAAGCGAGCCACCUGGGAAGUACGGCCGCAAGGCUGAAACUUAAAGGAAUUGGCGGGGGAGCAC